rnacentral:lncRNA from 1 species
UUUUUUUUUUUUUUUAAGGUCAGAGAAUAUUUACAUAGCCGUCACCAUAAAAUCUAGGUUAAGUGUAAUUUAGUGUUUGUUUACUCAGAAGGACAGACGAGUCCUAUAAAAUUCUUAGAUUUGUAUUUAAUAUUGUCCUCCAGGUAUUAUUACCUGUUGACAUAGAUUAUAGAAAAGGAAACUUUAAAAAGUAUUUGUGCAUAAAAUGUGUUUAUUUACUAGAGUUGUGAUGGGUUGAAUUUGCAUGCGCGCUCUUUAUAAUGAAGAGCUGACCAUGACCUCAUUUUUCUAUUUAACUCAAAUCCAACAAUGUAUCUUAAAAAAUUAUACACCAGGAACCAGGUGGGAUUCCAAGUGUGCAGGGCUGGCUCAACUUUCAAAAAUCAGUCAGUGUAAUCUACAUCAGACCAAGGAAGAAAAAUCGUAUGAUCUUAUCAAUACAUGCAGCAAAAGCAUUUGACAAAAUCCAGCGCCCAUUCAUGAUUAAAAUUCUCAGCAAACUGGGAAUAGAAGGGACCUUCCUUCCUUUGAUAAAGACAUCUACAAAACCUACAGCUGCUGUGAUACUAAAUGAUGAGAAACUAAAUGUUUUUCCACCAUGAUCAGGAACAAGGCAAGAGUGUCUCCUCUUACCACUGUUUUUCAAUGUCGCACUGGAAGUUCUGGCUAAUGCACUAGUACCAAAAAAAAAAAAAAAGAAAAGAAAAGUAUAUAGACUGAGAGGGAAGAAAUAAAACUACUUACAGAUGACAUGAUUGUCUGUGCAGAGAAUCACUCAUACUCACACACAAAUCCCGGAGGCCCGAUCAGCAGUUAAAGCGAGGUUUCAGUAUACAGUUAGUCUGCAAGAGUUAAUCGCUUUCUUAUGGCAGUGAACAAUUUGCAUUUGAAAUUUAAAAUCCAAUACCACCUACAUUAGCACACGCAACAAACAAACUUUAGGUAUAAAUUUUAAUAAAACAGAUCCCUAUGAGGAUGACUACAAAACUGGUGAAGUUUUUAAAAGUUAAAUAAAUGGAGUAGUCUGUGUGCAUAGAUGGGAUGACCCAGUAUUGCCCAGACAGCCGUUCUCCCACACUUGCUUUUAGAUUCAACACAACCUCAUUCAAAACAGCAGUAAGUUAUUUCGUGGAUAUUGCCAAGACAGCCGUUCUCCCACACUUGCUUUUUAGAUUCAACAGCAGGAAGUUAUUUCGUGGAUAUUGCCAAAUUUAAACUUUAAUUGUAAAGGCAAAAAUCCAAACUAGCCAACACUGCACAGAGGAGACUACAGGUACAUGACUGACACUACCAGGUAUCGGGACUUACUGCACUACUACAGAAGCCAAGGUCACGUGGUGUCAGUGAAAGUGUAGACAGUGAAACGACAGAGACCAGAAAUAGACCCACACAAAUCCAUCUUUGACAAGUCGAAGGAUCUUCGACAAAGGAUCAAGGCAGUUCUAUGGAGAAAGACUAGUCUUUUCAACAGAUGGCGCUGGAACAACUGGAAAUCCACAUGCGAACAAAGAAGAAAAAAGUGAAUAUGGACACAGAUCUUAUUUCACAAAAUUAACUCAAAAUGAAUCAUAGACCUAAAUGUAAAACAUGUCUAUGAAGAAGGUACAUAGAAAAUUGAGGUGACCUUCAGUUUGGUGAUGACUUUUUCAGAUACAUCACUGAACGCAUGGUCCAUAGAAGAAAAAAAAGUUGGACUUCAUUAAAAUUGAAAAUUUGUGCUAUGCAAAAGAUACUGUUAGGAGAAUGAGAAGAUAAGCCACAGAUGGGAAGAAAAUAUUUGCAGAACAAUAAGAUCCCAUUGUUACAAUGGUUAAAUCCAAUGGCAAAAGUCCAAAACAGUGACAACCCCAGAUGCUUGCAAAGAUGUGCAGCAACAUAAACUUUCAUGUUCAUUGCUGGUGGGAAUGAAAGAUGUCUCAGCCAAAUUGGAAGAUGGUUUGGCAGUUUCUUAGAAAACGAAACAUACUUUCACCACCGAUCCAGCAGUCUGAUUCCUUGUUAUAUACCCACAUGAGUCAAAAACUUAUGUCCACACAAAAACCAGCACACAAAUGUUUAUGACAGCUUUGUUCAUAAUUGCAAAACUUGGAAGCAGCCAGCAAGCCAAGUCCUUCAGUAGGUAAAUGGAUAAACAAACUGGUACAUCCAUACAAUGGAGUGCUAGUCGGUAAUAAAAAGAAAUGAGUUACCAAGUGACAAAAAGUCAUGGAGGGCUCUUAAAAGCCUAACACGAAGAAGCCAGUCUGAAGAGGCUGCGUACUGAAUAAUCCCAACAUCUGACAGUCCAGAAAAGGCAAAACUCUCAGGACAGUAAAAAGAUCAGAGUUUCAGGAGUUUGGAGGGAGGGGUAGAAGGCAGAGCGUGGCGGGGGCCAGGGAACCCGUUCUCUCAUGGUACCAUAACAGUGGGUGGUAACACGCCAUUGUACAUUUGCCCCAAACCGUAGAACGUACAACAGAGUCUCCUCUGUGACUUUGCUUAAUAAUGUGAUCAGUAGCGGUCCAUCCGCUUUAGCAAAUGUGCCACACUGAUGCAAGGUGCCAAUGAUAGAGGCGACCGGGUGGGAGGAGGAUGAGAGGGUAUGAGGGAACCCUCUAUUUCCUGCUCAUUUUCCUGUGAACACAACUCAGGAAAGUAAAGUCUAUUGAUUUAAAAAAUUUUUUUACUCUGACUUCUGUGUAGAAAACAAACUAGAAGGUUGACAGAGUAGAUUCCCAAAGACCAUUUAGGAAGCCCCCGACGUAGGCUCAGAGAUGGUCACACGUUGCAUCGAGGUCAUGACAGUGGGGCUGCAAAUGGACGGUUCCAGGCCUAAGAAGGUUGCCGGUGUUAACCCCACAGUUUAUUUCUGUGUGAGGGAAAGUACACCUCUGUUUUUCUCUCAGUCUUGCUAUUACCUCAUGUAUGAUCUGUGUUAAAUAUUAGUACAUGCCGGAGUUCCCGUCGUGGCGCAGUGGUUAACAAAUCCGACUAGGAACCAUGAGGUUGCGGGUUCGGUCCCUGCCCUUGCUCAGUGGGUUAACGAUCCGGCGUUGCCGUGAGCUGUGGUGUAGGUUGCAGACGCGGCUCGGAUCCCGCGUUGCUGUGGCUCUGGCGUAGGCCAGUGGCUACAGCUCUGAUUCGACCCCUAGCCUGGGAACCUCCAUAUGCCGCGGGAGUGGCCCAAGAAAUAGCAACAAUAACAACAACAACAACAACAAAAAGAC